CCUUAGAGAGCAUUGAAAAAUGGGAAGCAAUUCAAGAACAGAUAGUGAGACAGAAAUCAAGAGCAACUUGGCGCCAAUUGGGAGAUAGCAACACAAAGUAUUUCCAUGCAUAUAUGAAGUCCAGACUAGCAAGAAAUAAGGUGAGCUGUAUUCUCAAUGAUAACCAGCUGAAGAUUACUGAUCCACUACAGAUUCAACAAGAAUUCACACAAUUCUUUCAACAGCUAUUGGGUAGAGCAGCAGUUCAGUUACCAGGAAUUUAUAUCAAUGUGGCAAGAGAUGGUCCUUGCUUAACAUUGCACCAACAUCAGCAACUGUUAUUUCCAGUAACAAAGGAGGAGAUCGGCCAGAUAGUGCAGGACCUACCUAAUGAUAAGGCUCCAGGUAUUGAUGGCUAUCCUGCAGAAUUUUUUAAAGAGUUUAGGCCAAUUGUGGGGGAGGAAGUUACAGAGGCAGUGCAACAAUUUUUUCAAAAUCGCAAACUCUUAAAAGAUAUUAACUGCACAUUUGUUACAUUGGUUCCAAAAGUGAAAAUUCCCAAAUAUGUUAAAGAAUUUAGACCCAUUGCUUGUUGCUCAACAUUGUAUAAAAUCAUUACUAAAAUUCUAACUAAUAGGCUUAAACUGAUUAUGAACUAUUUGGUUGGGCCUUCCUAGUCUGCUUUCAUAGAUGGGAGAACAUACUUGAUAAUGUUAUUAUGGCACAUGAACUGAUCAAAGGUUAUACUCAAAAGGCAGUGUCUCCUAGAUGCAUGAUCAAAGUAGACAUUAGGAAGUCAAAGGUUAUACUCAAAAGGCAGGUCUCCUAGAUGCUUGAUCAAAGUAGACAUUAUGAAGGCUUAUGACUCUGUGGAAUGGGAGUUUGUGAAGGCAGUACUUGAAUUUGGAGUACCUUAGAAAAUGGUAGUACUAAUCAUGGAAUGUGUCUACACAGUAAGUUACUCUCUUUUAAUAAAUGGAAGAUUGACCAACUAGUUUGAAGCAAGGAAAGGACUAAGACAGGGGGACCCAAUGUCUCCCUACUUGUUUUUUCUAGCCAUGGAGUAUCUAACUAGAUCUCUGAAGAAGCUAAGCAGGAAUCCAGAUUUUAAUUUACUUCUUUGUUCUAGCCAUGGAGUAUCUAACUAGAUCUUUGAAGAAGCUAAGGAGGAAUCCAGAUUUUAAUUUCCAUCCCAAAUGCACCAAACUACAAAUCACACACAUCUGCUUUGCAGAUGAUCUUUUGAUGUGUUGUAGGGCUGAUGAGAUCUCAAUGAAGUUAUUGAUGGAAGAGUUUGAAUAAUUCUCAAAGGUAUCAGGCCUUCAAGCAAAUUUUGAUAAAAGUUAUUUAUAUAUAGCAGGUGUUUCAAGGGAAUUAAGAGAGAAAAUUCUUGCAGAACUUCACCUAGCAGAGGGCAAUUUUCCUUUCAAAUACCUAGGAGUACCCUUAUCUACAAGAAAAAUCACAAUUGCACAAUGUAUGCCUCUAGUAGAGAAGAUAGUGGACAUAAUUAGAAGCUGGACUUCCAAAUUCUUAUCUUAUGCUGAAAGACUUCAACUCAUCAAAAGUGUAUUGUUUGAAAUGCAAACUUAUUGGGCUCAGGUAUUCCUCAUUCCAAAAAAAGUUAUAAAGCUGAUAAAUGGAAUUUGCAGGAAUUACCUGUGGACUGGUAGUCAUGAGACCAGUCAUAGGGCUCCAAUAGCAUGGGAGACAUUGUGUAAGCCAUAGGCAGCUGGAGGAUUGAACAUUAUCUUCUAUGAAAGAUGGAAUAAAACAGCUUUAACUAAACUUCUUUGGGCCUUAAUGUCUAAGAAAGACAAACUCUAGAUCAAAUGGAUCCAUUGUCACUAUAUAAAGAAGAAGGACAUUGCUACUAUGGAAAUCCCUAAGCAAGCUAGCUGGCUAGUAAGGAAGCUAUUUGGAGCAAGAGAAUGGUGUGCUACUAAUAGCACAGGAAUGCAAGCCUGCACUCAGAAUGGGCAAUUUAACAUCAGGAAGGCAUAUAUUCAUACCACUCAACAAUAUCCCAAAGUUCAAUGGAAAACAUUAGUGAUGGUGACUAGAAUGCUACCAAAACAGAAAUAUAUCUUAUGGAUGGCAAUGCAUAGGCGUUUGGCAACAUUUGACAGAUUAGCCAAAUGAGGAAUUAAGUGAACAUUACUGGACUGAAGAAACCUAAAUGGUUACAGACUAUUAAUAGCUAUCCUUCAUGUAAUCCUUGACACUUGUGACAAGAGUCUCUUUGUGUUAGGAUUUAGCUAAACAACAAUAGUUGUAGAGUAUUUAGUUUAUUGUACUUGUGAGAUUUGUUCUAUAGUCCAAAGGAACAAAUGAUGUAAAUUGACAAAUGAAUGGAAUAAAAUUUUCUUUCUCGACCAAAAAAAAAAGAAAAAAGAAUCACUUAUAUAAUGUAAACUCUUCAUUGAUUUUUAAUUUUUCUAUAGUUUAAAUAAGGAAAGAUAUAAUAAAUAGAAUUUUAGUUGAUGUAAAAGUCCUUAAUAUUAAAAAGAUAAGUAAAAUAAUAAUUUAUUUAAUAUAAAUUUUAUUUUUAAAGGAUAAAAACACGAAUCAAAGCAUUUUGUACUUUUAAUAUAAUACAGAUAAAUAUAGAUUUAAUUAUUUUUAGCACAAAUACAAUCCACGCAAAAGUUAUUGGAAGGUUAAAAUUUCCCCAAAAUGCUGAACCUUCCAAUAAAUCAAAUUAUUUUUAUUCACUCAGAAUUUUCUUUGUUCAUUUCAACGUCAAGGAUAUUCUUUUUUGUUUCUCGUCCGGUGUUCGACAUCUGGAUUAGAAUCUGAUUAUAUUUGGAUUCGCAUCGCAUAGAGUCCCAUUCGGAAUAAGCCUUCUUUAUACUCAUCGCUCGAACUCGAGACCUCUGAUUAAGGGAAAAACAGCUACAUGUGCUGCACCGCAUUCUUUGGUAGUCUUUGUUCAUUUCUAUCCUCAAGGAUAUUCAAAAGUUCAUGCAGUAGCAUGCUGAAAAAAUCUAAAAGAAUUAAAACCUAAAAACCUUUAAUCUGAAUUUAACUUAGGAAUCCAAUGACAAAUCAAACAGUCAUACAACCUAGUAAAGUUAUAAAAAGCGAAACAUAGAAUUUUAGGAGAGUGAAUUAAAUGAAAAAUUAAAACUUUACCAGGAACAAUGUAUGGAACUGAAGCUUUUCUGCUUCGUCGUUCUCUUCUCUAUAGAGCUGAACCCUACCCGCUUGACGAUUUAGGUGUUAU
rnacentral:lncRNA from 1 species